CCAACCCCCUACUCACAACCCCCACGGCUAUCUCUUUUCCCUAGAACCUUCUAAUAUCAUUACAAAAAUUUAGUAGUACAAAUUUACAAUUCCAGAUCCAAUGUUUUUUCUGCAUCUCCGGCUACUUCUUUCUCUGCAAAUUCCCAAAACCAAUUUCUGAGGGUUUUUUUUCCGAUGGGGAAUCUCUUUGCAUGAAGCUUAUUAGAUCUGUGUUCCGGCAGUUUUCUCACGAAAUCAGAUCAGAUCCGGCUAGCCGGCGGCAAGGGUACGUGAAGGACUCGUCGGAUUUUAUGUCCGCCGGCGAGGUAGAUUAGUUAGGUGUUUGUUUUGGUUGCAGGCGGCGUUGUUUGUGGGUCCAAUUUUGAUAUUCAAAAAAAUUAGGUUAAGCUGUUUAGCUGGGCCUGGGCCUGUUGUUUGGGCGGAGCAGCCCAAACUCUUGUCAGUCUCGUGAUUGACAGCUGGUGGUUACUGGUCCGCUUUGUAAGGUCCAAACAUGUGUGAAAAUGAAUAGCUGCCCUGCAUCUUAGGUUGCGGUUGGACCAAAACGAUUUCGUGUUAGUUUUGUGAAAAUAUCAUUAGCGUUAGUUUUUUUCGUUGAAAAAUUCUUCUUCUACUGAAUACAUUCACAAAAUUUAAAAGUACUUUUUUCGAUCUUUUUUUUUUCAUUUGUUUUCAGAAGUUGUCCUGCGAGUUUAGAAUUUGCAGGAAUCAGUUUUUUUAAGGUUUGGUUUGCAAACUGUUUCUGCAAAAACACUUUUUCAAAAUUUCAAACGAAAUGGCAUCUUAUUAUCAAAAAAGAAAAAAAAACAGUAUUGUAUAGACUAAAAGUAAUAGACAUGUCUAAGCUUAGUAAGGGAAAAAAAGGCACAUAUUGAUGGAGUUCUUAUGUCAGUGUUUAUCUUUUUAAUUUAAGAAUGGGGAUUAUAGGUGUAAAUUUUAUAAUUGCACAUAUGUUUUUGUUACCUGAAAAUAUUUUACUAUUCCCUUGGAUUUUUAGGAUUCUUUGCGUCUUUUGUCACAUUUCAAACAUCCAAUAUUAGUGAUUUGUUUUCUAAGACACGCGGUCAAUAUUGAGUCCUCUAUGACUUCACACACAAUUUAAUGGACUUGCAUCAUAUAUAAUAUAACAGAAAUUAGUCCCCCACGCCCUUCACACGGUUUUACACCAUUUUAAUUUAUUUUUUAAUGUUUUCUGGCAACAUUAGCUUUAUGUUUAAACUAUUAUAUUGCUAAAAUUUUAUGCGCGUCUGCAUGGAUUAAAUUGCUCGACACAUGUAACACUAAAUUAGAUAGUUGCUCUUGCAACCAAUUAAAUUAAAACGUCGACUAACUUCUUCUUUCUAUGAUAAAGAAAGUCAGUUUUCCUCUGUUUUUAUUUGUCUUUUAAUUGAGAAAAAUAAAGAAUGAUGAAACAAAAAAAAAAGAAAAUGUUACGAUCGAAUUGUAACAAGAUUAUUUGAAAAGUGGUCUUGAGUUGGUAUGACUAUAUUAAUGAUCAAGAUUGUUAGACAAGUGAUCUUGAGUUGGAAGGACGAGAUUAUGACUGAAGAUUGUUUAUUUGAUCCAAUUCACGAAAAAACAAGAAGUUUAAGCAAGUCAAUAAGAAGAUCGAAAUCUCAGCUGUGAAGGUGAAUAAGGCCAAUUGUCGAUUGGUUGGGAAAGACAAACUAGGGCUCGAAGGAGGGCCUAGUGUUACAGUAAGUGUGUUGAUGAAUACUGCCCCAGCUAAGCUUGUGACUGCCAUAACUCCGCCGAUUAGGGUAGAAGGAAAGCAAAUUACAGUCACAAAUCCAGUGGAAAAGACCCUUAAUCCGACGGAAAAUACCCUUAAGUCUCCGAUGAGGGUGGAAAGCAAGCAAAAUUCGGGUGGGAUUUCAAUGGAAAAAACCCUUAAUUCUCCAAUAAGGGUGGAAGGAAAGCAUAUCUCGAAUGUGUCUUCAAUGGAAAAAACCCUUACCUCUCCGUUUCGGGUGGAAGGAAAGCAAAAUUCCGAUGCAAACUCAGUAGGAAGAACUGGGGAGCAGACCCCAAGGCCUACAGAGAAUGCAAGGAAUGAAUGGUCAAUGAUGGCUGAGGUAGGAGCUGAAAAGUCGGCGACAGAGGAACCAAGUGGUGCGCAGGGGAUUAUGAUCAUACCUGUUGAAAAAGAGGGAAAAUGGGCUACUCUCUUUACUGGGAACUGAUUUGCUGCGAAGGGGAUGGAGAGUACAUUGCGCCACUAAUUCAAGACGGGGUUAAAGUGGUACAACUUCAAAAGGAGGAGGUUGAAGUAGAAAAUGACAAAUGGAGGAAGGCUAUAAUCAUGUAUAUAGUUGGAGCUUCUCCCACAAUCUGUGCACUAGAACGAUUAAUUGUUGCUCAAUGAAACUUCACAGAUAAGCCAAGAAUCUACUAUCACAAUGAGGGGUACUUUGUUAUUCUCUUUAAUAGCUUAGAAGAUAAAAAUGAAGUGUUAUACUCUGAGCCACAUACCAUGAAUAGCAGGCCUAUUAUACUGAAACCAUGGCCUGCCAGAUUUAAUUUCCAUGAAGAAGUUUUGAAAACUAUUCCAAUAUGGGUUCAGUAUCCAAAUUUGCCAUUGAACUGUUGGAGUAAGAGAUCACUAAGUAGAAUUAGUAGCAGUUUGGGCACUCCAUUAUAUGCGGAUGACUGCACAUCUAGUGUUGACAGGAUUUCAUAUGCCGGGGUGUUAGUGGAAAUGGACAUCACUAGGCCAUUACCAAGAAGCAUUGUGGUACAAGAUCCUGAUGGAAUGAUUCCGAGUUAUUUAAAUGUUGCGGAGCAAAUUUGAACUAUUUGGAGAUUUGAAGUUUGAGUAGAAGCCCAAGAGAUUUAGCCGAGAUCGCGUUCGGGAGUCGAGUACCAAGUUCGAAUGUCAAAACAUGGAAAAAAUGAAUUACUAUAUGAAGUUUACACUGCCCCACCGCAUGGGGUGGCGCGGCAGUGCAUAUUGUGCCCAGAUAACGUUUUGCAAAUUAUUCUGGAAAUUGCCACUAGCAAAAAUCUUGAGUAUCUUUCCAUUUCCGCUAAAAAACGGUAUUUUCGUUUUGGGUUUAUUUUUGGGAUAGUUAAAUACACGGGGAAAACAUCAUUUUUGAACUUUUUAACAGAUUUCAACUUAAGGAGGCCAAGGAGGCUUGGGGAAGAACACAAGUAUAAGGAUUCAUCCUUCCUUCCUCACUCAAGAUUUGGGUUUGGAUUGAAUUUAUAUUUUCCUAUGGAGUAGGUCCAUUUGGGUUUUGAUAAAUUUGGUGUAUUGAUGAUUGUUUGUGGAUUAUAACUCUAUUUUUAUGUA